rnacentral:rRNA from 1 species
CCUCUGAUAACCCUAGAGAUAGGGCUUCUCCUUCGGGAGCAGAGUGACAGGUGGUGCAUGGGUGUCGUCAGCUCGUGUCGUGAGAUGUUGGGUUAAGUCCCGCAACGAGCGCAACCGUUGAUCUUAGUUGCCAUCAUUAAGUUGGGCACUCUAAGGUGACUGCCGGUGACAAACCGGAGGAAGGUGGGGAUGACGUCAAAUCAUCAUGCCCCUUAUGACCUGGGCUACACACGUGCUACAAUGGACGGUACAAAGAGCUGCAAGACCGCGAGGUGGAGCUAAUCUCAUAAAACCGUUCUCAGUUCGGAUUGUAGGCUGCAACUCGCCUACAUGAAGCUGGAAUCGCUAGUAAUCGCGGAUCAGCAUGCCGCGGUGAAUACGUUCCCGGGCCUUGUACACACCGCCCGUCACACCACGAGAGUUUGUAACACCCGAAGUCGGUGGGGUAACCUUUUGGAGCCAGCCGCCUAAGGUGGGACAGAUGAUUGGGGUGAAGUCGUAACAAGGUAACCUA